rnacentral:rRNA from 1 species
CCUACGGGAGGCAGCAGUGAGGAAUAUUGGUCAAUGGACGAGAGUCUGAACCAGCCAAGUAGCGUGAAGGAUGACGGCCCUAUGGGUUGUAAACUGCUGUUAUACGGGAAUAAAACAGGGUAUGCAUACCGUCUUGUAGGUACCAUAUGAAUAAGGAUCGGCUAACUCCGUGCCAGCAGCCGCGGUAAUACGGAGGAUCCGAGCGUUAUCCGGAUUUAUUGGGGUGAAAGGGAGCGUAGGUGGAUUGUUACGUCAGUUGUGAAAGUUUGCGGCUCAACCGUCAAAUUUCAGUUCAAACUGGCAGUCUUGAGUACACUCGAGGUGGGCGGAAUUCGUGGUGUAGCCGU